UACGUAGGGUGCAGGCGUUAAUCGGAAUUACUGGGCGUAAAGGGCUCGUAGGCGGCCAACUAAGUCAGACGUGAAAUCCCUCGGCUUAACCGGGGAACUGCAUCUGAUACUGGAUGGCUUGAGUUCGGGAGAGGGAUGCGGAAUUCCAGGUGUAGCGGUGAAAUGCGUAGAUAUCUGGAGGAACACCGGUGGCGAAGGCGGCAUCCUGGACCGACACUGACGCUGAGGAGCGAAAGCCAGGGGAGCAAACGGG
rnacentral:rRNA from 1 species